UCCAGCCACAGUGCCACCACUCCACCCGGGGAAAUUUGGCCUAAUUUCCAUUUAUUAAAAGGACCUGAAGACACGGCCCAACAGGUGGAAACGACAUAGACCUGUUUUUUUUACCUCUCCCUGCAGUUUUCUGUAUUUUAACUUCUGUGGAGGCCUGAAGGAUGCUGUUCUGCUAGCACAAAUUCUUUGAAAAUCCUAAAAUAAGGCGUGGUAAUAAGGCAGGCUGGGUUUACUCCAUCCACGAAUAGUGCAGUUUCUGCUGAUUGAAGCUGGAGAAGAAAAAUAAUUGAGGACGCCAGCGUAAAAGCAAUCCAACGUUUCUUCAGUGACAAGCGCGCCCCCUUCUGCUGCUGGCCAGCAGUUCACGCCGUCCCACUCCACCAGACAGCCUAGAUGAGGCAGGAACACAGGCAGGACACUGGGGGGGGUCAUGGCUGAGGACGGACACGCAGGCCCCGUAACUGCAUGGCUGUUUUUAGGCCAGCAAGCGUGGAAGAAAUACGGAAACGGCGAGAAGAUUGAUUUUGCAAAAAAAAGACACAAGGAGGACAUGAUGGGCUACUUUUGCGUCCAAAUCCUUUGGAGUUUUACACGAUGUUUUUGCAAGAUCAAAAUAGCAUUCCCAAUAUAGGUUUACAUACUGAAUGCACAUGGUCGUACAUAAUUAAUUAAUUAAUAAUGGUGUUUCACUGACGAAAAUGCGGCGAUUUUGCAGAACACUGAGCGCACCUACAGUAUAUCAGGUCGUUUGCCUGACGAAUUCAGGUUUCCAUCAAUCUGUAUCCAGAACUGCGGAGCUGGAAAUCGGAGCUCACC